UACGUAGGGUGCGAGCGUUAAUCGGAAUUACUGGGCGUAAAGCGUGCGCAGGCGGUUUUGUAAGUCAGAUGUGAAAUCCCCGGGCUUAACCUGGGAACUGCGUUUGAAACUACAAGGCUAGAGUGUGGCAGAGGGGGGUGGAAUUCCACGUGUAGCAGUGAAAUGCGUAGAGAUGUGGAGGAACACCGAUGGCGAAGGCAGCCCCCUGGGCCGACACUGACGCUCAGGCACGAAAGCGUGGGGAGCAAACAGG
rnacentral:rRNA from 1 species